rnacentral:rRNA from 1 species
AGUCAUAUGCUUGUCUCAAAGACUAAGCCAUGCAUGUCUAAGUAUAAACAACUUUGUACUGUGAAACUGCAGAUGGCUCAUUAAACCAGAAAUAAUUUUUUUGAUGGUGACAAACUACAUGGAUACCCGUAGUAAUUCUAGAGCUAAUACAUGCGUAGACUCCACUUAUUUGGAGGUAUUUAUUAGAUCCGAACCAUCCCCUUCGGGGUUUGUUGGUGAAUCAUGAUAACUGUUCGAAUCGCCAGCUUUGCAGGCGAUAGUUCAUUCAAAUUUCUGCCCUAUCAGCUAUUGACGGUAGUGUAGUGGACUACCGUGGCUUUAACGGGUGACGGAGAAUUAGGGUUCGAUUCCGGAGAGGGAGCCUGAGAAACGGCUACCACAUCCAAGGAAGGCAGCAGGCGCGCAAAUUACCCAAUCCCGACACGGGGAGGUAGUGACAAGAAAUAUCAAUUCUGUGUCCUUUGUGGCAGAGAGGUGAAAUGAGUGUAAUGUAAAUGCCUAUGCGAGUAUCCAUUGGAGGGCAAG